CACCUCCUCGCACGAAGCUUCCGGUGGAGGCCUCUACCAGUUCCGGCGCUCCGGUCUCGUGCGCCGGCACGCAAGGACGUCGCGGUGGCCGAGGCGGCGGGCUGGCGGGUUUGGCUUUUCCCACGCACGCGCACGGUCACUGAGAGCAGCGCGCGCAGCGGAGUGCACUAACUUUUCCAGAAUUCCGGGAAUCUCACGCACGGGCUAGCCUGGAACUCCGUUUGUUUCCAGGCGAUUGGUGGAAUUGUUUGGGGAAUCCAGUUUCUCUCAUGCCCGAAUUUUGUUGGUGGAAUCGGUUGGCUAGAGGAGCAAGGUUAGGGCAGUGACCGGAAGAGAGAUUGAUCCGGUGAUGUCCUUGUCGCAGAUGCUCUCCCGGGCAGACCCGAUGCAGCCGUCGGGGCCUCGCCGGAUUGUGAGGAGGCAGACCGCCAUCAACCUCGGCGAGCCCAUCUUCGACAUUGAGGUGGUGCCAUCGUCGCUCGUGGAGAUCGCGCCCAUCCUCCGUGUCGCCAACGAGGUCGAGGCGGCCAGCCCCUGUGUCACCUACCUCUGUUGAUGCGGAAUUUGAUGCACCAUAGUGUACAUGAUGCACCUUCCCUACUGUUCAGAUUGGGUAAAUCGUUUGGUUCCAUAACACGCUCAUCCACGCAGCGCACGGAGGCAGACACAUUGGUCACCUGGAAGGCAGAGCUGGAGCAGCUGCGCAAGGCGGAGCUCGAGGCGACGGCACGCCUUGGGGGCCAGUGGGGUGGCGCGUCGCGGGUGCCGGCAAGUGCGGCUACAAGUGGCUUCUAAGGUCCGACCUACCUGCAAUAAUUAAUAAUGUAUUAAUCCUGCACUCAUGUAUCCAAAGUGAUAUUCUCACAAAUUACUGGAGUUCGGCUGCUCCCUUACAUAGCAAGACUGCUACUACUACUACAGAUUAAAUGUUGUAUACAUGUAGCCUAUACUAACAUAGAAGAGAUUAAACAUUGUCAAUUUGAUGUAAUUUUUAUUGUUCUGUGUACUGACAUAGCAGUAAUAUAA